rnacentral:rRNA from 1 species
AGUGAACGCUGGCGGUAGGCCUAACACAUGCAAGUCGAACGGCAGCACAGUAAGAGCUUGCUCUUACGGGUGGCGAGUGGCGGACGGGUGAGGAAUACAUCGGAAUCUACUUUUUCGUGGGGGAUAACGUAGGGAAACUUACGCUAAUACCGCAUACGACCUACGGGUGAAAGCAGUGGAUCUUCGGACCUUGCGCGAUUGAAUGAGCCGAUGUCGGAUUAGCUAGUUGGCGGGGUAAAGGCCCACCAAGGCGACGAUCCGCAGCUGGUCUGAGUGGAGGGUCGGCCGCACGAGAAGUGAGACAGGGUCCAGGCUCCUACGAGAGGCAGCAGUGGGGAAUAUUGGGCAAUGGGGGCGAGCCUUAUCCAACGGGACCGAGUCGGUUGCAGAGACCUUCGGUUUGUAAAGCCCUUUUGUUGGGAAAAAAAAGCUGCAGGUUAAUACCACGCUGUUCUGACGGUACCGGAAGAAUAAGCACCGGCUAACUACGUG